GGGAAAUGGACAAUGGCCCUACCUGUUGAACCACUCUCUGAGGGAGACGGCUUGGGGGUGUAACCUCUUUCAGUAGGGCGAAGCGCAAGGACGGUACCUCCAGAGAAGCACCGGCGAACUACGUGCAGCAGCUGCGGUAAUACGUAGGGUGCGAGCGUUGUCCGGAUUUACUGUGCGUAAAGAGCUCGUAGACNCUUGUCGCGUCGUCUGUGAAAACCGAGGCUUAACCUCGGGCCUGCAGGCGAUACGGGCAGACUUGAGUACUGUAGGGGAGACUGGAAUUCCUGGUGUAGCGGUGGAAUGCGCAGAUAUCAGGAGGAACACCGGUGGCGAAGGCGGGUCUCUGGGCAGUAACUGACGCUGAGGAGCGAAAGCGUGGGUAGCGAACAGGAUUAGAUACCCUGGUAGUCCACGCCGUAAACGGUGGGUACUAGGUGUGGGUUUCCUUCCACGGGAUCCGUGCCGUAGCUAACGCAUUAAGUACCCCGCCUGGGGAGUACGGCCGCAAGGCUAAAACUCAAAGGAAUUGACGGGGGCCCGCACAAGCGGCGGAGCAUGUGGAUUAAUUCGAUGCAACGCGAAGAACCUUACCUGGGUUUGACAUAUAGAGGAUCGCCGCAGAGAUGUGGUUUGCCUUGUGCCUUCUAUACAGGUGGUGCAUGGCUGUCGUCAGCUCGUGUCGUGAGAUGUUGGGUUAAGUCCCGCAACGAGCGCAACCCUUGUCUCAUGUUGCCAGCACGUUAUGGUGGGGACUCGUGAGAGACUGCCGGGGUCAACUCGGAGGAAGGUGGGGAUGACGUCAAGUCAUCAUGCCCCUUAUGUCCAGGGCUUCACACAUGCUACAAUGGCGCGUACAGAGGGCUGCGAUACCGUGAGGUGGAGCGAAUCCCUUAAAGCGCGUCUCAGUUCGGAUUGGGGUCUGCAACUCGACCCCAUGAAGUCGGAGUCGCUAGUAAUCGCAGAUCAGCAACGCUGCGGUGAAUACGUUCCCGGGCCUUGUACACACCGCCCGUCACGUCAUGAAAGUCGGUAACACCCGAAGCCGGUGGCCUAACCCCUUGUGGGAGGGAGCUGUCCGAAUGGGAUGCUUUUU
rnacentral:rRNA from 1 species